UCGUGUGUUGUGUGAUUUAUUACUGACAAAGGCCUUAAUGGCCGAAAGCUUUAUUUGUGACAGUCUUUUUGUUGUGCCUAUCUGCAACUCAGCAUAUCUGCUAUAUGGUGAGUAGCAACUUUCCUUUUCAUAAUAUUGUUGAUUUUGAUGUAUCUUGUCAGGCUGGUGGGCUUGCAGUAUUUUUCAUUCUUCGACGUAUGCACAUUUUCUAAAGAUGACUACUACAUAUGCCAUGCAGGAUCAUGCCAGGCUACAGAACACUGACAAUUUUUGGAACCACAUCAUAUACUGUUCUCAUGAUAAUACCGGCUGUACUACUGCAAAUAAUGACUUUCUGAUGCACCUUUCACCCAUGCAACUCAACAGUUACCUAUAUUACCAUCAUCCUAUAUGAAGAUUGUUGCAGACAGCAACUGAGACUAGUUACCAUCUUUUAAUUGUGAUAGGAAAAUUGCGAUCUAGGGAUUAAAA